AAUAGAUACCCAGGUAGUCCAUGCCGUAAACGUUGGGAACUAGAUGUAGGGCCUGUUCCACGGGUUCUGUGUCGUAGCUAACGCAUUAAGUUCCCCGCCUGGGGAGUACGGCCGCAAGGCUAAAACUCAAAGGAAUUGACAGGGGCCCGCACAAGCGGCGGAGCAUGCGGAUUAAUUCGAUGCAACGCGAAGAACCUUACCAAGGCUUGACAUACACCAGAACACUGCAGAGAUGCAGGACUCUUUGGACACUGGUGUACAGGUGGUGCAUGGUUGUCGUCAGCUCGUGUCGUGAGAUGUUCGGUUAAGUCCGGCAACGAGCGCAACCCUCGUCCUAUGUUGCCAGCACGUGAUGGUGGGAACUCAUGGGAUACUGCCGUGGUCAACACGGAGGAAGGUGGGGAUGACGUCAAAUCAUCAUGCCCCUUAUGUCUUGGGCUUCACGCAUGCUACAAUGGCCGGUACAAAGGGUUGCGAUGUCGUAAGGCGGAGCGAAUCCCAAAAAGCCGGUCUCAGUUCGGAGUU
rnacentral:rRNA from 1 species